UACGUAGGGGGCUAGCGUUGUCCGGAAUCAUUGGGCGUAAAGCGCGUGUAGGCGGUUCGGUAAGUCCGCUGUGAAAGUCGGGGGCUCAACCCUCGAAUGCCGGUGGAUACUGUCGGGCUAGAGUGCGGAAGAGGCGAGUGGAAUUCCUGGUGUAGCGGUGAAAUGCGCAGAUAUCAGGAGGAACACCAAUUGCGAAGGCAGCUCGCUGGGACGCUACUGACGCUGAGACGCGAAAGCGUGGGGAUCAAACAGG
rnacentral:rRNA from 1 species